rnacentral:rRNA from 1 species
AACGAACGCUGGCGGCAUGCCUAACACAUGCAAGUCGAACGAAGCCUUCGGGCUUAGUGGCGCACGGGUGCGUAACGCGUGGGAAUCUGCCUCUUGCUUCGGAAUAACAGUUAGAAAUGACUGCUAAUACCGGAUGAUGUCUUCGGACCAAAGAUUUAUCGGCAAGAGAUGAGCCCGCGUAGGAUUAGGUAGUUGGUGGGGUAAAGGCCUACCAAGCCGACGAUCCUUAGCUGGUCUGAGAGGAUGAUCAGCCACACUGGGACUGAGACACGGCCCAGACUCCUACGGGAGGCAGCAGUGGGGAAUAUUGGACAAUGGACGCAAGUCUGGUCCAGCAAUGCCGCGUGAGUGAUGAAGGCCUUAGGGUUGUAAAGCUCUUUUACCAGGGAUGAUAAUGACAGUACCUGGAGAAUAAGCUCCGGCUAACUCCGUGCCAGCCGCCGCCGUAAGAC